rnacentral:tRNA from 1 species
GUAAAUAUAGUUUAAAAAAAAACAUUUGAUUGUGGCUCCAAAGACAGGGGUUAAAGUCCCCUUAUUUACC